CAGAGUGACGAGGGGGGAGGGACGCACUGAGACGCACACAGAGUGACGAGGGAGGAAGCUUAGACAGAGGAGGGGGGGCAGCAGCAUGAACCGAACCAAAGGCUAAAGGAGCGAGCAGCCAACACAACUUGGGCUUGUGGGCAGCUUGGUGACCGGAUUGUAGCCAUGUCCAAUAAUAACAGGACAAGCAGCGAGUCCACUACCCCCCCAGGUACCGGGAGAGGCUUCAAGGCAGCGAAGGGGAGAGACCCCUCCUGUGCUGAAAGGAGAGGAGCCAACACUUCAACCUGGCCCCCCGACACUUGCCUGGUGGAGGCGGUUUGCACGCUGCUCUGCCAGCUCCACGAGAUGACUCACAAGGGGGGGAAUGAGGGACUCUUUAUCGUUUGUAUCACAGGGUUUUAUUUAAGUUAUUAAAGUCCUUGUUCUACAUUUGCUUUUGGAAACUCUUUCAUUUCACUCACAAUCACAAUCACACAAUUCUCUUGAACUAUUCUAACUGACCAGCAUUUAACCGUCUUAGACAACUGGCAUCUGAGGAGGCCUUGACCUACUGACCUUCUACUUCAUCUUAUGACUACUCCUACUUGGCCUGAGGCGGGACUCGAACCGCAGAUCUUCUGCAUCACAUUGCACAUCUGGCACCACUGGCCCCUCCCCUACCUGUUGAUCCCCCUUUUGCCCCCCUGCUUCUACAGAGAGGCUCCUGCGUUGUGGGGGCACCUUCUUCUCUGUUUCAAUGUUUCAAUUUCCAGGAGCCAAUCGGAGAGCUCAGAUCGCUGGUUCAAUUUCCAACAACCUAUCACGCUCUCCAAGUUUCGGGCAUCCAAUCGGAUGCUCCAUUUGUUUCAAUUCGACUUCUCGAGCCGCCAUCUUGGAUCCUCGCUACCGAGCGCUCAAUGUUUUAAAACUACCCGGCAGAUAUAACGACGUAAGUACAACAAUGUCAACUCUAUUCUCUUUUAGUGCCAUAGUGGUAAUGAAUCGGUGUUUAAUUUGAGUGUAAGUGGGGGUACUAAUACUAAAUAAAUGUGGCAGGUCGCCCACAAUAAAUCUGCUAUCGGAUCUGCGUAAUAGAUGCUUGCUACGGCCGUGACGUCACUAUUAUUAUCAUCAGUAAGUUUUAUUUAAUUCGGUGAAUGAAACCCGGUCUAAAAACGCGUAUUGGAGCUAACAGACUCGUCUCUGCGUGUUUCGGCUCGUUUAUUGAUGACGGCGUUUACGUGACAGGCAGCGCUUUAGCAUCGGUGCUGCGUCACACGUUUACUAUAGCAGUUAUUACCAAGUUAUACUUUAUUACAACGUGUUUUAAACAGUCCAGUAGAAUUGUGACGUUCGCCAUUCAUGUGGACUAAUAAUUAAACAAAGUGUGCAUAUAUCUAUAGACAGACACAAGCUGGGCUCUGAUAGAAAGGUUUUAAUGAGAAGAGGAAAUGCAGGAAUACAACUGAUGUCACAAAUGAGAGGGUCACGUGUCACGUCUUCUUCUGUCUGCCGUAUUCUGCCAAUAAUGUCCUUUUGUUUAGGCUCACCUUCGUCCUCGCUGACUACCAGGCCAUCAGAGGCUGAUGUCUCAGACGGAGAUCCAGCUCUUUGAGGUGAACCGGAGGACGCUGCCCCAGUGGUUCUCUGGACGCCAGAGGGGGGGGGGGGCUGCUGCCAUCCCUGCAGGUGUUGCAGCCGCUCCUCUUGUUCCCCUCAAAGGGCUGUCCUUUGUUCAGGUGGGACGAGGACAGCCCGGAUGAGCAGCCUGGACCCUCAUCCAGUGGCCUUCCUCCUGCUCCUCCUGGGUGUCCUCCCUGGUCCUACAGGUCAGCCUCCUCCUCCUCCACCUCCCAAGGUGUCCAGGACCACUGCCUGGAGGAAGACAGCCAAGAAACCCCAUCAGCAGAGCUGUGCUGCUGUGGAGCAGUCCUGAGGACGCAAAAGGGACUUUUUAUCGUUUGUAUUUGUUAUAGUUAUUUAAGUUAUUAAAGUCCAUUUUCUACACCUG